UACGGGGGGGGCAAGCGUUGUUCGGAAUUACUGGGCGUAAAGGGCUCGUAGGCGGCCAACUAAGUCAGACGUGAAAUCCCCAGGCUCAACCUGGGAACUGCGUCUGAUACUGAUUGGCUUGAAUCCGGGAGAGGGAUGCGGAAUUCCAGGUGUAGCGGUGAAAUGCGUAGAUAUCUGGAGGAACACCGGUGGCGAAGGCGGCAUUCUGGACCGGCAUUGACGCUGAGGCGCGACAGCGUGGGGAGCAAACAGG
rnacentral:rRNA from 1 species